GACGAACGCUGGCGGCGUGCUUAACACAUGCAAGUCGAACGGAAAGGCCCUGCUUUUGUGGGGUGCUCGAGUGGCGAACGGGUGAGUAACACGUGAGUAACCUGCCCUUGACUUUGGGAUAACUUCAGGAAACUGGGGCUAAUACCGGAUAGGAGCUCCUGCUGCAUGGUGGGGGUUGGAAAGUUUCGGCGGUUGGGGAUGGACUCGCGGCUUAUCAGCUUGUUGGUGGGGUAGUGGCUUACCAAGGCUUUGACGGGUAGCCGGCCUGAGAGGGUGACCGGCCACAUUGGGACUGAGAUACGGCCCAGAAGCCUACGGGAGGCAGUAGUCGGGAACAUUGCACAAUGGGCGGAAGCCUGAUACAGCGACGCCGCGUGCGGGAUGACGGCCUUCGGGUUGUAAACCGCUUUCGCCUGUGACGAAGCGUGAGUGACGGUAAUGGGUAAAGAAGCACCGGCUAACUACGUG
rnacentral:rRNA from 1 species